UACACAUAAAAACUUGAAUUGUGGUUCAUAUAUGUACAUGAAACUUUGAUUUUGAUUCAGAUGUACAUUUAAAAAAAAGGAAUACAUACAUUUAUUUUUGUAUUGGAUUAAUAUAAUGGUUUGUGUAUGCAAUAUGUAAUACCCAAAUUUUUACCCUGCCUACAAUAAAACAAAGUCCAUUAUUUUUAAGCCCAAUUACAAGACAAAUUACAUGGCCCAAUUUCAAUUGGUGGCCCAGUUACAAACAUAGCCCGAAACAGAUGAAGAAACCCUAGGGUUUCUGAGUAAAGCUCCAGCCGCCGCAACCCCAAUCUUGGCCGAAUCUCCAUGGAUUCACCUGCAUAGCAAGAAAAACGAAAAUGGAAAGGGAAUCAACAAUAUUUGUAAAUCAAAUCAAGAACUGAUUUCUUUCCUUUUUAGAUUUAUUUCAUAUGGCUAUAAAAAAGCCAUAAACACACUGUAAAGAGGAUCCGAUUUCGAAAUAAAAAUAAAAAUAAAAACUACAACUUUCACAAUAUCAAGAGCAAAAAAUCGAAGUAAAGGUUGAUACUAGCAUUUCUAUUUUAUUUUUAUUAUAUUUAUUUAUUGUUAUUAUUUAUAUAAAUACAAAAAGGAAGGAAAAACCUGUUUACCAGCCUUAAUCGCCGCGGAUGGCCGAGGAAGUCGUCAUUGAGGAUUGACGACCGGAAGCCGAAAAGUUUCUAUACUUUUAGGGGCCUUUUUGUUAAUUUUUCAUGGGAUUUGAGCCUGGAUCUAGGCUCAGGGGUCAAGAAGGUUGAAAAGGAAAUUUUUUUUACUUUUUCCGGCCACCGUGGACGGUGGUGACGACGCCGGAGAUCGGCGGCCGGCGCGGUGGCUGAUGACCGGCCGAUGACCGUCUGAUGAUCGGCCCAUGGCCGGAGGACAGAAAGGUUGAGAGAGUUUUUUAAAAGGUUUUUUUGUUUUUUUUUUAAAAUGUUUUGAAAU
rnacentral:lncRNA from 1 species